rnacentral:rRNA from 1 species
CUUCCGUAGGUGAACCUGCGGAAGGAUCAUUACCGAGUGAGGGCCCUUUGGGUCCAACCUCCCACCCGUGUUUAUUUUACCUUGUUGCUUCGGCGGGCCCGCCUUUACUGGCCGCCGGGGGGCUCACGCCCCCGGGCCCGCGCCCGCCGAAGACACCCCCGAACUCUGUCUGAAGAUUGAAGUCUGAGUGAAAAUAUAAAUUAUUUAAAACUUUCAACAACGGAUCUCUUGGUUCCGGCAUCGAUGAAGAACGCAGCGAAAUGCGAUACGUAAUGUGAAUUGCAAAUUCAGUGAAUCAUCGAGUCUUUGAACGCACAUUGCGCCCCCUGGUAUUCCGGGGGGCAUGCCUGUCCGAGCGUCAUUGCUGCCCUCAAGCCCGGCUUGUGUGUUGGGCCCCGUCCUCCGAUUCCGGGGGACGGGCCCGAAAGGCAGCGGCGGCACCGCGUCCGGUCCUCGAGCGUAUGGGGCUUUGUCACCCGCUCUGUAGGCCCGGCCGGCGCUUGCCGAUCAACCCAAAUUUUUAUCCAGGUUGACCUCGGAUCAGGUAGGGAUACCCGCUGAACUUAAGCAUAUCAAUAAGCGGAGGAA